UGAUUAAUUGCAUAGGAUAGAAGUAACCUGAUUGCUUCCAAUCUUGCAAUUGGAGCAAAUGUUUCAGUGUAAUCAAUGCCUUCUUAUUGACUGUAACCUUGAGCAACAAGUCUGGCUUUGUUUAUGGUUACCUCUCCUUGUUCAUUCAACUUGUUUCUGAAUACCCAUUUUGUUCCAAUAAUGUUCUUCUGAAAAGGUUUGGGUACCAGAUCCCACACAUCAUUCCUUUGAAACUGAUUUAGUUCUUCUUGCAUAGCUAGUAUCCAACCAUCAUCUGAGAGAGCUUCUUCAACAGUUUUUGGCUCAAUUAUUGAAAGCAAUCCUAUUAAAGACUCUUCUUGUCUGAAAUGUGAUCUUGUUCUUCUAGGACUAUCUUUGCUUCCAAUGAUUAGCUCCUCAGGAUGUGACGAUUUGUGCUUGAAUUUAGGUUGAAUAACUUGCUGAGUGUUAUCUUGAAUAUCCUCAGAAGCAUUUUCAUUCUGUACUUCUGAACUAGGUUCUGCUUCUGAAAUAGACUCAGCUUCUGGAGUGAUUUCAGCUUCCGGACUAGAUUCAUCUUCUGAAUGCUUUUCAGAAUCAGAAGGUUGAUCAGAUUCUGAUGCAUCUUCAGAAUCAGUUGUACCUGCAUUACUUUCACUUGGCUCUGGAGUUUUACUUCUAGGCUCUCUAUCAUCAAAUUUUACGUGCAUAGAUUCUUCAACACAAUGUGUUUCUGAAUUAUACACUCUGUACGCCUUUGACCUUUCAGAGUAACCUAAAAAGAUUCCUCUUUGACCCUUGGCAUCAAAUUUCUUCAGAUAGUCUUUAGUGUUUAGAAUGUAACAAGUACAUCCAAACUGAUGAAAGUAAGUGAUAUUGGGUCUUCUUCCUUUAAAGAGUUCAUAUGCAGUUUUCUCCAACAUAGGUCUGAUAUAGAUCCUAUUUUGAAUAUAACAUGAAGUAUUAUCUGCUUCUGCCCAGAAAUGUUUAGCUAAAUUGUUUUCAUGGAUCAUGGUUCUGGCCAUUUCUUGUAAGGUUCUAUUCUUUCUCUCUACAACCCCAUUUUGUUGUGGAGUUCUAGGAGAAGAA
rnacentral:lncRNA from 1 species